GACAGAGGCCCCAAGCGUUAGGCGGAAUCACUGGGCUUAAAGCGUGUGUAGGCGGACGCCUAAGUGUCUUGUGAAAAUCCCCACGGCUCACCCCGUGGAACUGCUGGGCAUACUGGGCGUCUUGGGCCAACUAGGGGCAGCCGGAACAAGCGGUGGAGCGGUGAAAUGCGUAGAUAUCGUCUGGAACGCCGAAGGUGAAAACAGCUCGCUGGGGCUGCGCUGACGCUGAGACACGAAAGCCAGGGGAGCGAACGGG
rnacentral:rRNA from 1 species